GGACAUGUAAAUUUCAUUUCAUUCCUGUGCUGAAGUUCAAAUUCUUAUUCUACUUAAUAUGUGAUUUGGCAAAAUUAGUUAAGUUGGUUUUUACUAAAAACAAAAAAUAAUCCGUUUCAGGUGCACUUUUGAAAAUGAUAAUACCAAAUUAGCAAAAACGCCAACAUAUAAAUUAAAAAAUAUGUUAUUCACAACAUUAAAUUGAAAAUUUACGAAUAAAAGAAGAAUGCCUGCUCGACUUUAAAGCUUUAAACACCGUAAACUACCACGAAUAGCAAAAUUGAUACUCUUAUGCUUGAUAAAGUACCUCUAUGUAGAAAGUCUCCAAAACAAAGUAACUGUAUAAUGAAAAUGUGAAACUUGGACAUUAAUAAUUGGAAGCUAAAAUAUUUUAAUAUUUAUGCUUUGUAUUCUCUAAGUAUUCGUUUUUAGGAAGUCUCCAAAAAAAUGAAUUCACUUUGUGAAUGACACUCAUGAAUGAAAGUUAAUAUACAAAUUUAACUUACAUCAAAUAAAAUACCACUUUCUGGAAAGUCUCCAAAACAAAGUAAGUUCGCUUUGUGAAUGACAUUUAUAAAGGAAGUUUUACGAAGGCAAGCAUAAGAGAUUUCUAAAUAAUUCCAGAAAACAAAAUAUCUGACCAAGAUGUUCAUUCUUCUUCUGAACUUUAGUCUGUUACGGGUAUUAUGCUUAGUUACGAAGCAACGUUUUUGCAGAAAAAAAAAAAUAAUUUGGUGAAAAAGUGCAGAGAUGGAAGUGCAGUGAAAUUUUCUUAAAAAAUUAUACCCGUAACUUAAUAUUAAUAUCUGUUUAAACUC